UUUAUAAGAGAAUAUGAAGUCUUUAUGCCAUCACAAAUAGAGCAUUGUGACUUCAUUGUGAAUUUGGCAAUAGCAAAUGAGAGAAGCUAACUGUUCAAGAUCCACUACUGUCUGUGAGGUCCAAUGAGGAUUCUACUCACUGCAAAGCUUAUCACUCACUGUAGGACUUUGCUCCCAGCAAGAAUGAAGCCACUUCUUGAUACUAAACAGCUAAGAAAAUAUUAUUUUCAAUAUGUUAACAUUUGAAGUGGAGAACUCUGAAGCCACUUGGACUAAAGGCCUUUGUUUAUGGAGAGGAGUAGAGGCCUUUGCAUGAAGCUACCAGUGGAGUGGAUGUAAGUGGGAACAUUUGUUUGCCACUGCCAGUGAAAUUGAACAGGCUUGAUGGGGAUUUUGGUGGCACUUACCGGAUGGGUGGAGGUCUGGAGGAGAUCAGGGGCUUUUACAGUUAUCUCUGGAGCAGGGAGUAGAUGAAUAAAGGAGCCAAGAUAUUUGUUUGCAGUUGCUAAGAGAGAAGAGGGCAUCAGAAGUCCUUGUGUGAGUCUGAGUCAAAACCCAGAGGAAGGUGAACUUGAGCAUUCUUUUUGGGAAAAGGUAAACUACAGAGGGUGCAAUGUUUGUGUUUGUACUUGUCGGGGACUAGUUUUUUGAUGGAACAGGUUAUUAUAGGUAACAAUGGGGAUGUUGGUGGAAGUGUUACUGAAAAGUAAAGUUGGCACAACACUACCCUUCCCCAUAAAACUGGGUCAAACUUAUGCUGAAAGGUUAAGAAGAAAGUGCUUUUGAUCCAGUCAAGUAGGACAAGUAGGGUAUUAAAAGAGUGGCCCAGCAGUGGGUCCUUGAGAGGUGAAAUUGAUUUGUUUUGAAAAUUUAUUUUCCCUGGAGAAGUGGCAGGAUUUUGCAGAACAGAAGUUAGAUGAAAAUUGAAUGUUUCGAGGGAUGUGGAUGGAAACUACCAUGCUAUGAAAAACAAGGGCUCUGUUAUUUGUUUGUUGUGCAAAGCAACAGUUGCAGUGCCCAGACAAUAGAACGUGAAGUGACCCCAUGCUAUGAAACACAGCCAGUUCAUGAAGUGUCAAGCUGAACACUGCAAAUAGAAAAUUGCUUCUGUUGCUCAUGGAUUCCUUUUCUUAGUCUGGCCAACACAAACUGUUCAAAAAGGCCAAUGAUUGCACUGCAAUUUCCACACAGAUCAGUUAUGAAAUUGCUUCUUUGACAGCAGAAAACACUGAUAUCCUUCAUCUUUGUGGAUUGUGAAACAAUGUAUGUUUGUUGCAAAUAAAAACGUAUGCCUUGAA